CCGGCGACCUAAGGGGCUCUGGGGGAUCCGGUGCCGCUUCCCCUAAGCAGAGAGUGCACUUGAGCACCAUCGGUCACCUGUUGCCCUGGCCCCCCACCGCCCAUCCCUGGAGCCCUGCGAACCCUGCCCUGGGGCCCUGUCCCAACUGGGCCGGGAGAGUACCGGGCCCUGGGCAAAUGACCUGGGGGUCAGGUAGGCCUGGGAACCCCAGACAGCACCAAUGUUUUGUGGGCUGGCAGGCACAGGGGACUCCAAAGUGAAGUGCAAUUGCAUCACUGUCUACACCCUAAAAAAUGUGGCACAACUUGAUGUGGUGGGGGGGGGGUCCCCGAAAGCAGGUCCCUGCCUGAAGUUAGUACGGUGCCUGGUGCCCAACACAGAGUGGGCAAAGGGAGCGGUCACUGAUCCAAAACCUUUGUCCUGAGUUCUGUCCUCAGCCCUUUCUUGCAGGUGGGUGAUUGGGGUUCAGCAGAGCCUUCCCAGCCGCUCCCCUCUGACCUCCUGCAAGGAUUUGAUGCACUGAGUAUCCCUGCUGUCUGUUCAGAUGGAGUACUGGAAGACCCCUGAGCCUACCACCUUUGUUGAUUAUGACCCUCAGAGCCCUCUGUGUGAGAAUGAGUACAUUGAUUUGCGCAACUUGGACAAUGUCCUGCCCUUGGUAAUACUGUUGCUCACCCUGCUGCUCAACCUGGUGGUCAACAGCCUGGUGCUGCGAGCACUGGUGAUGUACAAUGGCCUUCAGUCAUUCACCACAUUCUUCUUCUUUAACCUGUGCGUGUCGGACCUGGUGUCCUCGUUCCUGCUGCUGCUGUGGGUGUUUAGAGAGCACUGGAGCUUGGUCCUGUGCAAGGCAGUCAGAAUGACCUUCUCUCUCGGACUCUACAGCAACAUGUUCGUCCCCACCAUCAUGACGCUUUACCUGUCAGUGGUGAGACCCCAGUGCAUGCCACUUGACCUCAACCUGCGCUGCCGCGUGCUGCUGGCUGCAGCCAUGUGGGUGGCCAGUGUCCUAUCUUCCAUCCCCGAUGCCAUCUUCUUUGAAGUAAUUGAUGAUCAGUGUACAUACUCAGGAACCCUGGGCCUGCAGGUCUCUGUGUACGUGCACAACUUCAUGUUCCUGCUGUCCAUGGUGACCAUCUUCUUCUGCUACAGGCAGACCCGCAGGACCCUUUUUACUUCCAUGUCCAGGGGUCAGCGCCAGCUCAUCUUGGCCAUCAUGGUGGUCUUUGUCCUCAUCUGGGCCCCCUACAACCUCAUCCUGUUCCUGCAGAUAUUGGUGAACAUUGGGGUCAUCCAGAGCUGCAAGACCAGGCUGCUGCUGGACUGGGCCUUGACUUUUUUCGAGACCCUCCCCUUCCUACAGCUGUUUCUUCACCUACUGCUCUACUGCCACUUUGUCAAGUUCCACACAGACUUCAGAAAUCUCUGCCAGCGUUGUGUGUGCAGUUGUGUAAACUACAGGUGCCCAGCCCUGCCAUGCUGCCCCAGUCUCCGGUCACCUUCACCUAUGAGAGUCCCUCCUAGUACUUAGGAGAGUGACAGCACAUGUGCAGCUGGACAGGGCACCCACAGAGGGACAGGGGGAUGUGAACCAGGAAGGAACAGUGCAGCAGAGAUGGCACCACUCACUGAGGGGAUAGAAGAAGGACGUGGGACCUGAGGGCCCCUCCGAGGGAAAGUUGCACCCACCUGGGAUUGAUCCUGCCACACGGGACAACACUCUUCAGGCACAGUCAUUCGGUCACAUAGUAUUCAUCCUUGCUGGGGCUGCAGCUCUCCAAAGAAAAAUGGCUCACAGAUAAAGGGCCUCUUUCCAGCCUUAAUGGGGUUAAGGGUCUGCCGCACCGGGGGUGUGAUCAGGGUACAAUUCAGGGAGCUUCCCUGACAGCCUUCCCUCCCUGGUCUCACUGGGCCCAGCUCAUCUAUCCCCUUCAGAGGGGACUCAGUGACUGCUGUGGAGGCUGCCCAAAAGGCAAGAGUGACCACCUCCUCCAAGAAGUACAGCAAACCCUGACCCUGAAGCCUCUAACAAGACUGAAGCUGAUUCUGUGACCUGGCUCCAGAAGGUGCCAUGGACACUGGCCUCACCUCUGCAGCUUGUGAGAUUCCACUGCAGGGGUAAGCACCAUUGGUGCUGCCUUUCGCACUGAGUCUAUUUGGAGGAUCCAGAGACAAUCAGGAUUCGGUUCUCACUCCGAAUGCCAACAGCACAGCCUGGAGGUCUGGGAGGUUUCUCCUGCAAUGUGCCAUCCCUUGCAGAUGCAGAUUCGCUGACUUGGUCACUUUCCCUUGUCAUGGUUUAUGUUGUGUCCCCCAGGCCUCAUGAGUUUGCAUUGUUCAUUUGUGAUGGUUCAUUGUAUAGUGCUUGGAUUGAUGGUGUCAGUGCUCCACCCACAUAGGGGUGGAGCCAGGAUGUGAUGUAAUGGCAGGAAGAAGGUAUGUCUUUCUCUUUGCUGUUUCCAGCUCGCUGUGGGCAGCCACCAUGAACUGCGGUCCAGCCAUGCCCGCCUGUCUUGGAGCCAACUGAGUGUGGACUGAAACCUCCAAAAACUGGAGCUGCUGAAGCUGGACAUUGAUCACCUGUGUGGGGCUAGAGCAAGGCCAGCCCUGAAAACACAGAGAGCUCAAAACAAGCGAUGUAAACAAGCUGUUCUGGCUCCAAGAAGGCCAGGGCCCAGGCCAGCCAGGCACACAAGUUGCUAGGCAGUGGAUUGACAUGGACGUCCUCCUGCUGAGUGUAUAAAUAAACCUGGUGCAGUGGCUGAGCAGCUCCUUCUCUCCCAUCAGGAGAGUAAGGGCUUCACCUGACCCUAGCUUUUGUCUUUUA